UCGGCCGUACCAUGCUGAAUAUACCGGUUCUCGUUAGAUCACCGAAGUCAAGCAUCGUUGGGCGCGGUCAGUACUUGGGUGGGUGACCACCUGGGAACACUGCGUGCCGUU
rnacentral:rRNA from 1 species